rnacentral:rRNA from 1 species
AGUGAACGCUGGCGGUAGGCCUAACACAUGCAAGUCGAACGGCAACACAGUAAGAGCUUGCUCUUACGAGUGGCGAGUGGCGGACGGGUGAGGAAUACAUCGGAAUCUACUUUUUCGUGGGGGAUAACGUAGGGAAACUUACGCUAAUACCGCAUACGACCUACGGGUGAAAGCAGGGGAUCUUCGGACCUUGCGCGAUUGAAUGAGCCGAUGUCGGAUUAGCUAGUUGGCGGGGUAAAGGCCCACCAAGGCGACGAUCCGUAGCUGGUCUGAGAGGAUGAUCAGCCACACUGGAACUGAGACACGGUCCAGACUCCUACGGGAGGCAGCAGUGGGGAAUAUUGGACAAUGGGCGCAAGCCUGAUCCAGCCAUACCGCGUGGGUGAAGAAGGCCUUCGGGUUGUAAAGCCCUUUUGUUGGGAAAGAAAAGCAGCAGGUUAAUACCCCGCUGUUCUGACGGUACCCAAAGAAUAAGCACCGGCUAACUUCGUG